GACAGAGGGUGCAACCGUUGUUCGGAAUUACUGGGCGUAAAGCGUGUGUAGGCGGCCAUAUAAGUCGGAUGUGAAAGCCCUGGGCUCAACCCAGGAAGUGCACUCGAUACUGUAUGGCUUGAGUACUGGAGAGGUUGGUGGAAUUCUCGGUGUAGAGGUGAAAUUCGUAGAUAUCGAGAGGAACACCGGUGGCGAAGGCGGCCAACUGGACAGAUACUGACGCUGAGACGCGAAAGCGUGGGGAGCAAACAGG
rnacentral:rRNA from 1 species